rnacentral:rRNA from 1 species
AUUGAACGCUGGCGGCAGGCCUAACACAUGCAAGUCGAACGGUAACAGGAAGCAGCUUGCUGCUUUGCUGACGAGUGGCGGACGGGUAAGUAAUGUCUGGGGAUCUGCCCGAUGGAGGGGGAUAACCACUGGAAACGGUGGCUAAUACCGCAUAACGUCGCAAGACCAAAGUGGGGGACCUUCGGGCCUCACACCAUCGGAUGAACCCAGAUGGGAUUAGCUAGUAGGUGGGGUAACGGCUCACCUAGGCGACGAUCCCUAGCUGGUCUGAGAGGAUGACCAGCCACACUGGAACUGAGACACGGUCCAGACUCCUACGGGAGGCAGCAGUGGGGAAUAUUGCACAAUGGGCGCAAGCCUGAUGCAGCCAUGCCGCGUGUAUGAAGAAGGCCUUCGGGUUGUAAAGUACUUUCAGCGGGGAGGAAGGGAUGGUGCUUAAUACGCACCGUCAUUGACGUUACCCGCAGAAGAAGCACCGGCUAACUCCGUGCCAGCAGCCGCGGUAAUACGGAGGGUGCAAGCGUUAAUCGGAAUUACUGGGCGUAAAGCGCACGCAGGCGGUCUGUUAAGUCAGAUGUGAAAUCCCCGGGCUUAACCUGGGAACUGCAUUUGAAACUGGCAGGCUUGAGUCUCGUAGAGGGGGGUAGAAUUCCAGGUGUAGCGGUGAAAUGCGUAGAGAUCUGGAGGAAUACCGGUGGCGAAGGCGGCCCCCUGGACGAAGACUGACGCUCAGGUGCGAAAGCGUGGGGAGCAAACAGGAUUAGAUACCCUGGUAGUCCACGCCGUAAACGAUGUCGACUUGGAGGCUGUUUCCUUGAGAAGUGGCUUCCGGAGCUAACGCGUUAAGUCGACCGCCUGGGGAGUACGGCCGCAAGGUUAAAACUCAAAUGAAUUGACGGGGGCCCGCACAAGCGGUGGAGCAUGUGGUUUAAUUCGAUGCAACGCGAAGAACCUUACCUGGUCUUGACAUCCACGGAAUUCGGCAGAGAUGCCUUAGUGCCUUCGGGAACCGUGAGACAGGUGCUGCAUGGCUGUCGUCAGCUCGUGUUGUGAAAUGUUGGGUUAAGUCCCGCAACGAGCGCAACCCUUAUCCUUUGUUGCCAGCGCGUAAUGGCGGGAACUCAAAGGAGACUGCCGGUGAUAAACCGGAGGAAGGUGGGGAUGACGUCAAGUCAUCAUGGCCCUUACGACCAGGGCUACACACGUGCUACAAUGGCGCAUACAAAGAGAAGCGACCUCGCGAGAGCAAGCGGACCUCAUAAAGUGCGUCGUAGUCCGGAUUGGAGUCUGCAACUCGACUCCAUGAAGUCGGAAUCGCUAGUAAUCGUGGAUCAGAAUGCCACGGUGAAUACGUUCCCGGGCCU